AGCCUAACACAUGCAAGUCGAACGGCAGCACAGGAGAGCUUGCUCUCUGGGUGGCGAGUGGCGGACGGGUGAGGAAUACAUCGGAAUCUACUUUUUCGUGGGGGAUAACGUAGGGAAACUUACGCUAAUACCGCAUACGACCUACGGGUGAAAGCAGGGGAUCUUCGGACCUUGCGCGAUUGAAUGAGCCGAUGUCGGAUUAGCUAGUUGGCGGGGUAAAGGCCCACCAAGGCGACGAUCCGUAGCUGGUCUGAGAGGAUGAUCAGCCACACUGGAACUGAGACACGGUCCAGACUCCUACGGGAGUGCAGCAGUGGGGAAUAUUGGACAAUGGGCGCAAGCCUGAUCCAGCCAUACCGCGUGGGUGAAGAAGGCCUUCGGGUUGUAAAAGCCCCUUUUGUUGGGAAAGAAAUCCAGCUGGCUAAUACCCGGUUGGAAUGACGGUUACCCAAAGAAUAAGCACCGGCUACCUUCGUGCCAGCAGCUGCGGUAAUACGAAGGGUGCAAGCGUUACUCGGAAUUACCUGGGCGUAAAGCGUGCGUAGG
rnacentral:rRNA from 1 species